AAAAACAAUAGUUGAAAUCAAAAAUAAAGUUAGUUGAACGUACGUUCCUUACGUGUCCUAAAUUUUCUGCGGCAUUUGAAAAUGUCCUGCAACAAAUUGGUUUGCCCUCAUACAACAAAGCCACUAACUAGCUAGUAUCGAAAACAAUUCCCCCCAACAUAAUUUGACAUAAUUUAUGCAACGCUCGGCCAGUUAAUCAAAUUGCAGAGUGCUGGAAAAAUUCCUUUGGAGGCAUGCAUCCAUGCAGCGGUCGAGGGAAAUUGCAAUCAAAUCAGCUGCCGGUCCGCAGGCCAAUCUAAUUCAAUUUUCAAAGCAAAUUCGUGUCAUGCCCCGCACACAGCAGCGAUAUAAACACAAAUAGAACGUCACGCGCUGCAAAGCCGAAAUUAAAUUCCCCCAGAGUGAAAGGAAGAAAGAAAAUGCCAGGAAUAGACACCAUGGCACAUGUGGCCAAAAAAGCGUUCGCUCCUGUUGGUCAAUUUUGGCUUAGACAACGGAAGUAGAGGAACAGGCGACCAGCAGCAGGUGCCAAAACUGACGCCUGACGGAAAAAUUGUUGGUCAAAACACUCGCACAAAGGCGGCCAGCUAUAAAAUGGCAAAAAAAAAACACGUUCGAAAUAUAUGUUGGGCUUAUUGCGACUAAAACAUACCUGGUACUGUCUAUAUUCCUAUGAUCCUAUCUUUCACGUACUCGAUCAUUAUUACAUCAUACUGAGGAACUGGCAAAAUU
ensembl:ncRNA lncRNA:CR46215 long non-coding RNA:CR46215